UUACAUUAGUGAAGAAUUUAAACGUGUAUGUAAACACAGUAAAAAUGAAAUUCUUUUUAUUGUCAAACAGAAGUUUAAUUUUCUGUCAGGACUGUGGCUGCUCCGUGUGUACAAAAUCAGGUGAAAAGAAAAGCUCGCUUUUGUGGUUUUUACGCACCGGCGGCAGAAGGAUCGGACGUUCCGUUAAAGUUCAGAAAAUCCUAAUCCUGAGCUCAAUUUGGCCGAUCUCUCUUUAAGGCUUCCUCCUUGUGCGCCUCCUGCAGCCGUCCCUCGCUCUCUCCUGUUCUUCAGCUGACGGAUUAACCAGUUUGCCCUAUCCCAGCAUCCUUCUCUGCAGCAGCCUUUCCAUCAACUGUGUUGGCCAAUAGGAACGUGGCAGAGCGCCCUCUGGUGGACAGACUCCAACACUGGCACUCCUGACGUGGCUGUGCGGCGUUUCUUUGGUCUCUACUUUAGUUUUCAUGUAUCAGGGGUGGUUAAAGCUGUAGACAGAUGAGGAAUGCCAAACACCGGGCGGCGGAUAAAUCAGGACGUAAAAGCUUUUUUCAGCUGCUCCGUGAAUCCUCGGGUCUCCGUGGCCUUCCUGACAGAAGCCCAGAGCUCUCCUUUUACUUCAGAUGUGUGAAGCGCUAAAUUUGCACUGUUAUUAUUUUAUUUAAUAUGAUUUUAGGGUUCUGGACCUCUAAACUGUGCAUAUAUGAACAAAGCUACAAAACUGCUUUGUUCAAAUUUCUACAUUUCAGUAAAAACUGAGAACUUGUUGGACUUUUGAAAACCUCGUGUGGCUGCUUGUGCUGACAGAAUUAACCGAACCCAGAACCUAAAGUCCAGACUGUAUUCUUCCCAUCGGUCGGGCCGGAUCGCUCCAUUCGUCAGAUUUUACUUCCUGAGAGUUGAAGCCUGAAGCAGCUUCACUCGGCAUAAUGGGACAGAACUCUGGGAAAACUGGGCGGAGGUGCCAGAGGAGAUGACCUGAAUGAGAGAUGCUUUCAGAAAGCAGACGUGAUGCAAGACGAUGGAUUUCUGCACCGACUUCCGUACUUCCUGUCCCUCCGUGACUGAUGGGACCAAAAUCUCCAAAAUAAACUUCCUGUUUUCUUCAGUCAGACCUGAACCAUAAACACAUCAGAACAGGGUUUGCUGAGCUCAGAUCAGCUGAGCAGGAUGCUCAUUUUCCCAUUCGGACCAGAGGAGCCGCCUCCUGCUGGACACUAGAGAACAGCCUUAUGUCCAUCUUUUAUGUACAGUGUGUAGGAGCAAGCUUCGUCUGUUUGACCUUAAUGCUGCCCUGAAGAGUCGGACCACUGAUCGUUGGAGAUAUCAUGUGACCUGUUUAACCAAUGACAACUCCUCCUGUCCUUGUUUACACAGAGGAAUGCAUCUGCCUAGAAACAAACAUGAUAUUAGAAAUAACUUUGAAGAGGAGUGGCGUAACACUUUGUGUUUAAAAACCUGGAUAUCAACAUAAAUGCGUGAUAAUACUGUCAUCAUUUGUUUAUGUGCUGUUUGAGGCCCAUGUUGGAGCUCCAUUAAAUCUGAUCUAAUCUCAACGCAAAAUGCAAACUCUUUCCAGAUGGUGAAAAUUGAGUGAAACCCUGAUCUCUUAAGUUAUAAUUAAUGAGUAACAUUUCCCUGCUGGUGGUCUUUAUUCAUUUGUUAUGUUUGCAGCUGACCAGAUGCAUUUCUCUUCCAGAAGAGGUCCGUGGCUGUAACGCAUCGUCGUAUCAUUUCUAGUACUGAAACAUUCAUGCAAUCUCAUUGCAGAGCUCUUUUUUUUUUCUUUUCUUUUUUGUUAGCAGUGAAAAGUGGUUGUGUGGUACUCGUACUUCAGUCCUUUGUAGUUAAAACUUUGGGUGUGAGCAAAAAACUAAUAAAGAUCCUUAAAAGUUGGCGAGGAGUUCCUCAGGGAACAGACGUGUGAAUGAGGGGCGAACGGGUUUGUUUUCUUUUGUUUUUUUCAUGUUAAUAUUUCCAGUUGGAGGUUUUCCUGUAAGUCAGGCUCUUUGUGAAGACAUGGGGGAACUUCAUUCGGGGGUGGGUUUGUUUUAAACUUUAAAUAUGGAUUUCUACUUCCUGUUUAACCUUGAUGAACGCUGUAUGUCAAAGAACAGUUCAUCUCAUUUUUUGGAUGUGAUGCAAUACUUUUUAUAAAAUGUUCCCUGUUUUUUUUAUUUUAUUGGUUUUUUUUUUAAUGGACAUCAGCCAAAUGGUAGAUUGAAUGCUUCAGGAUUUAUUUUUGUUUUUUUAAAGGUCAGACUUGAUGUGACCUUUGACCUUGUGUGACCAGUGUCAGUUCUGAGUGAGUUAUCAGACUCUGAUGUGUUGGUUGUUUACUUUGUGCCUGGUUUUAUCAGUGCUGCAUGGGCUGAAUGUCAUUAAACACCAACUUACAACGGUCUGCCAUGAUGAUGAUGAUGAUGAAGGCUACGGUGGCUGUUUUAAAAAAAAAAAAAAAAAAAAAAAAUGUAUUGCCUGUUUUAGUCGAGCAGAAUGGGUACUUUGUAGUGUUAACAUUCAAAGGAAACAAAUAAAUGUUCAUAACUACCGGCUGGAACGCUGACUGUUCUUUAACCUCCUAAGACCCGAACUCUUCCACGGCAGCAUUUUUGAUUUCUCUUUGAUAUUUGGGCAUAUUGGGGGCUGAUGAAUGUAAAAGCAAAGAAUUACCAGAUUUUUUUUUUCCUUAUUUUUGUUUUUAAGAAAAAUAAGAGCCACAUAUGAGGGUAUUCGUUUAAAAUUUUGAUAGAACAGUAGCAGCAUAAUGUCCUCGUAAGUGGAUAUCAGGCCCUUGUAGAGCAAAAUUGAGUAUUUUGGUCUAAAUAACCCCAUAUGUCCACAUAUGUGGACG
ensembl:lncRNA